rnacentral:rRNA from 1 species
UACGGAGGGUGCAAGCGUUGUUCGGAAUGACUGGGCGUAAAGCGCACGUAGGCGGGUCUGUCAGUCAGCUGUGAAAGCCCCGGGCUUAACCUGGGAAUGGCGGUUGAUACUGCAGGUCUUGAAUACCCAAGAGGGUGGCGGAAUUCCGGGUGUAGUAGUGAAAUACGUAGAUAUCCGGAGGAACACCAGAGGCGAAGGCGGCUACCUGGUGGUGUAUUGACGCUGAGGUGCGAAAGCGUGGGGAGCAAACAGG